GCUGCUCAAAACUUCAUAUACCUCUACGUGGUGAGUAGCGGACAAUAGUCUUAUAACCAGCAAAGAAGAUAUG
rnacentral:ribozyme from 1 species